CUUGUAUAAAAGAUUCAACAGCCAACAUAUCUUCACUCAUUCACUGACAACAACGUGGUUCUUUCCAUUGAGGAACAAGUUCUUCCUUCACACCGUAAAGAUGAGCUGUUGUAGAUGCUGUGGUGGUCGGAGCUGCUGCUGCUGUGGCCGAAGAACCAGGCCAAGAGUUAUCUAUUACGUAGGGAGACCUGCUGCUCCCUGCUGUGGUUAUCGCCGGUACACCUAUGCCCCCUCCUAUGUCCCAGUGCGAAGCUGCUGUGCUCCGGCACGCCCUUGCUGCUCCAGUCAGCAGUGCUGCAGCCAAGUAAAGAAAUGCUAAGGGAACUCCUUUGCUGAACAAAGUUGCCUGCAAGGAUACCAAUCAACAGCUUAGAAAGCGAUAGCAUCAGCAACUCCUGGUUGGAAACUUGCCGGUUUACCUCUUACAAAAUAAAAUGCCUGGAGCUUUGCUUGACUCCUCCGUUAAAUCA